rnacentral:rRNA from 1 species
UACGAAGGGGGCUAGCGUUGCUCGGAAUCACUGGGCGUAAAGGGUGCGUAGGUGGGUUGGUAAGUCAGUGGUGAAAUCUCCGAGCUUAACUUGGAAACUGCCAUUGAUACUAUCAGUCUUGAAUAUUGUGGAGGUCAGCGGAAUAUGUCAUGUAGCGGUGAAAUGCUUAGAUAUGACAUAGAACACCAAUUGCGAAGGCAGCUUACUAAACGAUUAUUGACGCUGAGGCACGAAAAGCGUGGGGGAUCAAACAGG